GGAUGUGAUCAUACCAGCACUAAUACACCGGAUCCCAUCAGAACUCCGCAGUUAAGCGUGCUUGGGCGAGAGUAGUACUAAGAUGGGUGACCUCCCGGGAAGUCCUCCUCUUGCAUCCC
rnacentral:rRNA from 1 species